rnacentral:rRNA from 1 species
UCUUAGCUUGCUAAGGCUGAUGGCGACCGGCGCACGGGUGAGUAACACGUAUCCAACCUGCCGUCUACUCUUGGCCAGCCUUCUGAAAGGAAGAUUAAUCCAGGAUGGCAUCAUGAGUUCACAUGUCCGCAUGAUUAAAGGUAUUUUCCGGUAGACGAUGGGGAUGCGUUCCAUUAGAUAGUAGGCGGGGUAACGGCCCACCUAGUCAACGAUGGAUAGGGGUUCUGAGAGGAAGGUCCCCCACAUUGGAACUGAGACACGGUCCAAACUCCUACGGGAGGCAGCAGUGAGGAAUAUUGGUCAAUGGGCGAUGGCCUGAACCAGCCAAGUAGCGUGAAGGAUGACUGCCCUAUGGGUUGUAAACUUCUUUUAUAAAGGAAUAAAGUCGGGUAUGCAUACCCGUUUGCAUGUACUUUAUGAAUAAGGAUCGGCUAACUCCGUGCCAGCAGCCGCGGUAAUACGGAGGAUCCGAGCGUUAUCCGGAUUUAUUGGGUUUAAAGGGAGCGUAGAUGGAUGUUUAAGUCAGUUGUGAAAGUUUGCGGCUCAACCGUAAAAUUGCAGUUGAUACUGGAUGUCUUGAGUGCAGUUGAGGCAGGCGGAAUUCGUGGUGUAGCGGUGAAAUGCUUAGAUAUCACGAAGAACUCCGAUUGCGAAGGCAGCCUGCUAAGCUGCAACUGACAUUG